GGCGCUAAGACACAUUCAGUUAUUCGCCAAACACCUUUAAACCUCAGAAGAAGAAGAUUUAUUUUACCUCGUUCUCUGUUGUUUUGUUGUGAUACUUGUUUAAUACCUGUAAUAUUCUUGUCCUCAAAAGUCGUGUCUAAGUUUUGAAGCAAGCAAUAUCUGGAGGAGUAUCAUCUGAAAUGAGAUCUGCUGCUGUGAAAAUGAUGUUCGUUAAAGAAGAGAGAGAAGAGAACAUGAGUGAACCAGAAACCUGGAGGAUAAAACACGAGGAACCAGAAACCUGGAGGAUAAAACACGAGGAACCAGAAACCUGGAGGAUAAAACACGAGGAACCAGAAACCUGGAGAAUAAAACACGAGGAACAAGGAGGCCUGAUGAAAAUGAAAGAAGAAAGACAAGAUCUCAAUGAGGUGGAGGAGAAAUAUCAGGAUCAGAAAGAUUGUGAUGUCAAUGGAGAAAAAUCUUGCAGCAUUAAAAAAACAGAAGUCAAAAGGCCUUUUAGUUGCUCUCAGUGCAGAAAAACUUUCACAUGUAACAGAAAUCUUAAGGAUCACAUGUUAAUUCAUGCUGGAAUAAAGUCUUUCAGCUGCACUCGGUGUGGAAACACUUUCAGACAUAAAGCAACCCUUAAGAACCAUAUGUUAAUUCAUGCUGGAGUAAAGCCUUUCAGCUGCUCUCAGUGUGGAAAGAGUUUUACAAAGAAAGGACAACUUGAUUAUCAUUUGGUAACUCACACUCUAGAAAAGCCUUUCGUCUGCUCUCAAUGCGGAAAGACUUUUACAUGUAAGAGAAAUCUUAAGGAUCACAUGUUAAUUCAUGCUGGAAUAAAGUCUUUCAGCUGCACUCGGUGUGGAACCGCUUUCAGACAUAAAGCAAGCCUUAAGAACCACAUGUUAAUUCAUACUGGGAUCAAGCCUUUCAGCUGCUCUCAGUGUGGAAACACUUUCAGACGUAAAUCAAGCCUUGAGAACCACAUGUUGAUUCAUGCUGGAGUAAAGCCUUUCACCUGCACUCAGUGUGGUAAGAGUUUUACAGUGAAAGAACAACUUAAUUAUCAUUUGGGAACUCACACUCUAGAAAAGCCUUUCGUCUGCUCUCAGUGUGGAAAGAGUUUUACACACAAAGCAAGCCUUAAGAAUCACAUGUUAAUUCAUGCUGGAAUAAAGCCUUUCACCUGCACCCAGUGUGGUAAGAGUUUUACAAAGAAAGGACAACUUGAUUAUCAUUUGAUAACUCAUACUCUAGAAAAGCCUUUCGUCUGCUCUCAGUGUGGAAACACUUUCAGAUAUAAAGCAAGCCUUAAGAGGCACAUGUUAAUUCAUGCUGGAAUAAAGCCUUUCACCUGCACUCAGUGUGGAAAGAGUUUUACACAGAAAGGACACCUUGAUUAUCAUUUGGUAACUCACACUCUAGAAAAGCCUUUCGCCUGCUCUCAGUGCGGAAAGACUUUUACAUGUAAGAGAAAUCUUAAGAAUCACAUGUUAAUUCAUGCUGGAAUAAAGCCUUUCGCCUGCACUCAGUGUGGAAAGAGUUUUACACAGAAAGGACACCUUGAUUAUCAUUUGGUAUCUCACACUCUAGAAAAGCCUUUCAGCUGCUCUCAGUGCGCAAAGACUUUUACAUGUAAGAGAAAUCUUAAGGAUCACAUGUUAAUUCAUGCUGGAAUAAAGUCUUUCAGCUGCUCUCAGUGUGGAAAUACUUUCAGACAUAAAGCAAGUCUUAAGAGGCACAUGUUAAUUCAUACAGGGAUAAAGUCAGCUGCUCUCAGUUUGGAAAGACUGACACAGAAAGGACACUGCAAGGUUCCUUUGGUUACUAACUCUUCAUUAAAGCCUUGCACAGUUUUUCUGAAUGGCUGUUGAGUGUGGAAUCAUAGUCGUCUUCAUCCUCACAGCCGAUGAAAUCUGAUUGGACCCGGACAGAAAUCAUGUUCUUGGAUGAGCUAAUGAUUUAUUAACAUAAUAGAAUGAAGCAGGGUGAAGCUGAAAGCUGUCGAAGCGAAAUGAUGCCGCUGAACGAACUUGAUACAAGUACAGCUCGAAAGAAGCGGAGCUUUAUUAUGUCACAGUCGACCACGUCAGCUACUUGCAGUCAUCCGAAUGUGGAAUAAAGCAGUGCUGUUUUAUCAUACUAGAUACAUUUGAAAGUUCUGUUGUAAUGCUACUCUAGUCUAUUAAAACAUGCAACAUAUUAAAAUGUCUUAUGGUGUUCAUAUGUUUUAUACAAAACAAAACCAAAAAUUAAGGGGUUAUGACGUCAUUGGCAGGUGACACGUUGACACUAUAGACAUGGUCCGGGUAACUAGUUAAAACUGUUUAUUUCUCUGGAUGUAAAAAUUCUCAGAAACAUUUAACACUAUUCUAGUGGUUUUUGGAUAUUUCAUAAAAAAAAAACUUACAUAUUGACAAAACAUUGAUGUGCAUGUUCUACUGAUCCUAUAUUGAGUUACUGUUAUAUUUUCUCUGUUGUGCUGGUUAAAUUCUCUAAAUGUGAAAAAAACAAGAAUUGUCUUUUAGAGGAUUGUAAACCAGGGAAGUGAAAUAAUGGGGAGGAAGCAGAUGACUAUAUCAUAGACAAGUUUUGGGGAAAGCCCAGAGCAUAUUGUUAGUUUCAUCAUCUCCCUUCUGGCAUUCGUUAUAAAACCCCUAUUAGAAAGACAAAUCAGUUACAUAUUCAUUUAUCCUCUUAACUUUGAAGUUUUAAUAUAUAAGGUAAGAUCUUAUUAGGAAUUAAAUGGAUUGUUUUAUUUGUAUGUAUAGUGUUUUUAUUGUUUAUUUUAAAUAUUUAAAGCUGCAGUCGGUAACUUGACGCUCUAGCGGUUAAUAAACAGAACUGCUUGCGUCUUGCGGAAGAACAUCGUAGCUGGAACUACUUCUCUCUGUUUAUGUCUAUGAAGAAUCACAAAGGUACUGGGUUACUCCGCCGUGGUACCCCUGAAGCAAUCUAAAAUAGUCUGAAUAUAAACACUUAUUAUAGGUGCACCCUAGUGAUUCAGGACAAGCCAAAAACAUGGUUUGGAAAAUGAUUCAUGGUGUACUCGCUUAUUAUAUAAAUUUUUCUACAUUUUUAACACAAAGUUACGGACCGCAGCUCUGAUUGGUUGUUUCUUAAUGGGAGCGAUGUAUUUCUGCAAAUGGCAAUAGGACCACUGGGAGGAGCCAGAGGAGCUUGAUUUUUUUUUUCACAGAUUAUCUGUCUCAUAUUCUACUGUCAAGAUCUGAUGACAGGUUUAACAAAUAUGUAAAAAAUAUAUUUUUACAAAAGUUACCUACUGCAGCUUUAAUUGCUGCAAACCAAUUGCCUUUGGGAAAUGAAUA